ACAGACUUCGGUCCUCUGGCUCACUGCAAGGUGAAGCUGGGGAGUGCUGGUGGAAAGAAUUUAAACUCGUCUUUAGAAAAACUUGUCUGACAAACUUAUUUUUUAAUAAAAUAAAACUUUCAACAACGGAUCUCUAGGCUCUUGCAUCGAUGAAGAACGCAGUGAAAUGCGAUAAGUAAUGUGAAUUGCAGAAUCUCGUGAAUCAUUGAAUCUUUGAACGCACAUUGCGCCCUAUGGUAUUCCGUAGGGCAUGCCUGUCUGAGCGUCAGCUCGUCUUCUCAAGCUCUUUUGCUUGGAUAACAUUGGAGAAGCAAUACACGGUCCAUCUGGACUCUGUGUGCUCUCCAGAAAUUUAUAGGCGGUACGGUUCUAGCAAACCAGACGUAAUAAUUCUUUAUCUCGUCCUUUGUUUUGGAGCUGUUGCUUGCCUCUUAAUCCACAUCUUUUUUCAAGAUGACCUCAGAUCAGGUAGGGAUACCCGCUGAACUU
rnacentral:rRNA from 1 species